rnacentral:rRNA from 1 species
AUUGAACGCUGGCGGAAUGCUUUACACAUGCAGGUCGAACGGUAGAGGGGGCAACCCCUCGAGAGUGGCGAACGGGUGAGUAAUAUAUCGGAACGUGCCCAGUCGUGGGGGAUAACGUAGCGAAAGUUACGCUAAUACCGCAUACGAUCUAAGGAUGAAAGCGGGGGAUCGCAAGACCUCGCGCGAUUGGAGCGGCCGAUAUCAGAUUAGGUAGUUGGUGGGGUAAAGGCCCACCAAGCCAACGAUCUGUAGCUGGUCUGAGAGGACGACCAGCCACACCGGAACUGAGACACGGUCCAGACUCCUACGGGAGGCAGCAGUGGGGAAUAUUGCACAAUGGGCGCAAGCCUGGUGCAGCCAUGCCGCGUGUAUGAAGAAGGCCUUCGGGUUGUAAAGUACUUUCAGCGGGGAGGAAGGCGGUGAAGUUAAUAGCUUCACCGAUUGACGUUACCCGCUGAAGAAGCACCGGCUAACUCCGUGCCAGCAGCCGCCGCCG